rnacentral:rRNA from 1 species
AACCCCUACUCCUACCGGAGGCAGCAGUGGGGAAUAUUGCACAAUGGGCGCAAGCCUGAUGCAGCCAUGCCGCGUGUAUGAAGAAGGCCUUCGGGUUGUAAAGUACUUUCAGCGGGGAGGAAGGGAGUAAAGUUAAUACCUUUGCUCAUUGACGUUACCCGCAGAAGAAGCACCGGCUAACUCCGUGCCAGCAGCCGCGGUAAUACGGAGGGUGCAAGCGUUAAUCGGAAUUACUGGGCGUAAAGCGCACGCAGGCGGUUUGUUAAGUCAGAUGUGAAAUCCCCGGGCUCAACCUGGGAACUGCAUCUGAUACUGGCAAGCUUGAGUCUCGUAGAGGGGGGUAGAAUUCCAGGUGUAGCGGUGAAAUGCGUAGAGAUCUGGAGGAAUACCGGUGGCGAAGGCGGCCCCCUGGACGAAGACUGACGCUCAGGUGCGAAAGCGUGGGGAGCAAACAGGAUUAGAUACCCCGUUAGU